UACGGAGGGUGCAAGCGUUAUCCGGAUUCACUGGGUUUAAAGGGUGCGUAGGUGGGUUGGUAAGUCAGUGGUGAAAUCUCCAGGCUUAACUUGGAAACUGCCAUUGAUACUAGCAAUCUUGAAUACCGUGGAGGUCAGCGGAAUAUGUCAUGUAGCGGUGAAAUGCUUAGAUAUGACAUAGAACUCCAAUUGCGAAGGCAGCUGGCUACACGAAUAUUGACACUGAUGCACGAAAGCGUGGGGAUCAAACAGG
rnacentral:rRNA from 1 species